rnacentral:lncRNA from 1 species
CAACCUGAUUAUUUCGUAUUCUACCACAAUGCUUAGUAAAGUACUUGACAAAUAGUAACCUCUUAAUAAAUAGUAGUAGUAGUAGUAUCCAUUCAAUUGCAUUUAUUGAGCGCUUACUGUGUGCAGAACACUAAACACACGGGAGAGUACAAUGUUACAAUAAACAGAUGCAUUCACUGCCCACAAUGAGCUCAAAUUACAGAUAUAUACAUAAUUGCUGUGGGGCUGGGAGGGGGGAAGAAUAAAGGGAGCAAGUCAGGGCAAUGCAGAAAGGAGUGGGAGAAGAGGAAAGGAGGGGCUAGUCAGGGAAGGCCUCUUGGAGGAGACGUGCCUUCAAUAAGGCUUUGAAAGUGGGGGAGAAUAAUCGUCAGGAUUAGUAAUAGUAGGCAGGAUCCCUGCCCACAAAGGUUUUACAGUCUAGAAGGAAAGGCAGACAUUAAAAUGAAAUAUAAAUCAGGGGAAAUGGGAAAGUGUACGGAUAUGAACAUAAGAGUUGUGGGUCUGAGAGUGGGGUGAAUAGUAAAUGCUUAAAGGGAACUGUUACUAGUUCACAGGGGGAAGGAUGUAGAGAAAUAAGGACCUACAGUAGGCUCAAUAUCCGCUAUUGAUUGGUUGGUCGGGACGAGGUAAUCAGAUCGAACACAGUCCUCGCCCAACAUGGACCUCACAGUAUAGUUUAUCUGCAGUUUACAGCUGAGGAAUUGGCGCCUGGAGAGGUGAAGUGACUUGCCUGAGAUCACAUAGCGGGUCAGGGGCAGAGCUGGGAUCGGAACCCGGGCGUCCAGACUCCCAGCCCAGAGCGCAAACUAUGAGGCCACACCGCUUCUCUUUAUCCCCACAAAGGCACCUCGGGGACCCGAAGGGCUCGUCUCCUUUGGACCUCCAAUGCCACAUCUCACGCUGGACCCGAGCCGGCUCCCAGAAGGCCCUUCCCGUGGAGAAGCAGCGUGGCCUAACGGAAAGAGCCCGGGCCUGGGAGUCAGAGGAUCUGAGCUCUAAUCCCAACUCCAGUUAUCUGCUGUGUGUCGUAGAGCAAAUCGAUUAAAUCUCUCUGGGCCUCAGUUUCCUCAGCUAUAAAACGGAGGAUUUAAUAUCUCAUCUCCCCUUUGGAAUGAGAAUCCCCGGUGGUAUAGAUGAUUGGGUCUGAUCUGACUGUAUUGUAAUUCCCCCCUAAAGCGCUUAGUUGUAUCUUUUGAUGGUAGUUAAGUGCUUUCUAUGCGUCAAGCACUGUGCUAAACGCUGGAGUAGAUACAAAUUUAUCAGGUUGGACCCAGUACUUUCUCACACGGGACUCAUAGUCCUUGGCAUAUAGUAAGUGCUUAAUCAACACCACAUUUAUUAUUACAAUUGAGAUAAUAACAACGGUAUUUGUUAAGUGCUUAUUAUUUGCCCCACACUGUACUUAUUAUUAGGGAAGCAGCGUAGCCUAGUGGCUUGGAGUCAGAGGACAUGGGUUCUAAUCCCGCCGCCUCCGCAACUUGUCUGCUAUGUGACCUUGGACAAGCCACUUAACUUCUCUGUGCCUCAGUGACCUCCUCUGUAAAAUGGGGAUUCAGACUGUGAGCCUCAUAUGGGCAAUCAUGACAUUAUCUUGUAUCUACCCCAGCUUUAGAACAGUGCUUGGCAUAUAGUAAGUGCUUAACAAAUA